UGAACCUCUGGUUUAUCUCAGCCUGUUCCCAAUGCAGACUGUAGAGUCAGAGUGUGUAGAGUCAGAGUGUGUAGAGUGUAGUGUAUCUGAUAGUGUGUAGAGUCAGAGUGUGUAGAGUCAGAGUGUGUAGAGUCAGAGUGUGUAGAGUCAGAGUGGUAGAGUCAGAGUGUGUAGAGUCUAGUGUGUCUGAGUGUGUAGAGUCAGAGUGUGUAGAGUCUAGUGUUUCUGAGAGUGUGUAGAGUCAGAGUGUGUAGAGUCAGAGUGUGUAGAGUCUAGUGUGUCUGAGAGUGUGUAGAGUCAGAGUGUGUAGGGUCUGAUUGUGUAGAGUCUGAGUGUGUAGGGUCUGAUUGUGUAUAGUCUGAGUCUGUCUGAGUGUGUAGUGUCUGGUGUGUGUCAGUGUGUAGAGUCUGAGUUGUGUGUCAGUGUGUAGUGUCUGGUGUGUGUCAGUGUGUAGAGUCUGGUGUGUGUCAGAGUGUGUAGAGUCUGGUGUGUGUCAGUGUGUGUAGAGUCUUGUGUCUGUCUGAGUGUAGUGUCUGGUGUGUGUCAGUGUGUAGAGUCUGGUGUGUGUCAGUGUGCAGAGUGUAGUGUCUGGUGUGUGUCAGUGUGUAGAGUCUGGUGUGUGUCAGUGUGUAGUGUCUGGUGUGUGUCAGUGUGUAGAGUCUGGUGUGUGUCAGUGUGUAGAGUCUGGUGUGUGUCAGUGUGUAGUGUCUGGUGUGUGUCAGUGUGUAGAGUCUGGUGUGUGUCAGGGUGUAGUGUCUGGUGUGUGUCAGUGUGUAGUGUCUGGUGUGUGUGUCAGUGUGCAGAGUGUGUAGUGUCUGGUGUGUGUCAGUGUGUAGAGUCUGGUGUGUGUCAGUGUGCAGAGUGUAGUGUCUGGUGUGUGUCAGUGUGUCAGUGUGUAGUGUCUGGUGUGUGUCAGUGUGCAGUGUAUAGUGUCUGGUGUGUGUCAGUGUGUAGUGUCUGGUGUGUGUCAGUGUGUAGAGUCUGGUGUGUGUCAGUGUGCAGUGUAUAGUGUCUGGUGUGUGUCAGUGUGUAGUGUCUGGUGUGUGUCAGUGUGUAGUGUGUAGUGUCUGGUGUGUGUCAGUGUGUAGUGUGCAGAGGGCGGCGUGCGGCGGGCUGAUGUUGCCGCGUGUGAGGGUGGGCUGUGAGCCAACACGGUGGUCAGACACGUGGUCACAUGACCGCAGACCGGCGCCCUCCAGAGGCCGGC
ensembl:lncRNA